rnacentral:lncRNA from 1 species
CAAAGAAUAUCCUCUGUAUGAUGAAAGAAAGUAAGGAAAUAAAAGCCAGAAGACAUAUGAAGGGAUCCAUCAAAACAAUCAUAUCAUGCCAAUCAAGAAAGCCCCCAUUAAAAUAAUAAUUCAGAAGAGAGAAGAAACCACAACAUCCCAAGAAGACCAGGAGAUCAAGUUUUGAGGGGAGCCAAAAGGACUUAGAAGAGGAAGCUCCAUCUUGAGAGUAGCCUCAAAAGGAGAGAGAAGCUCUUCAUCAUUGUCUCUUCCGAAAAUUCAACAGACGGCAGCGAAAGAAGGAUUGCCACC